AGUGAACGCUGGCGGUAGGCCUAACACAUGCAAGUCGAACGGCAGCACAGUAAGAGCUUGCUCUUACGGGUGGCGAGUGGCGGACGGGUGAGGAAUACAUCGGAAUCUACUUUUUCGUGGGGGAUAACGUAGGGAAACUUACGCUAAUACCGCAUACGACCUACGGGUGAAAGCAGGGGAUCUUCGGACCUUGCGCGAUUGAAGGAGCCGAUGUCGGAUUAGCUAGUUGGCGGGGUAAAGGCCCACCAAGGCGACGAUCCGUAGCUGGUCUGAGAGGUUGAUCAGCCACACUGGAACUGAGACACGGUCCAGACUCCUACGGGAGGCAGCAGUGGGGAAUAUUGGACAAUGGGCGCAAGCCUGAUCCAGCCAUACCGCGUGGGUGAAGAAGGCCUUCGGGUUGUAAAGCCCUUUUGUUGGGAAAGAAAAGCAGCAGGUUAAUACCCCGCUGUUCUGACGGUACCCAAAGAAUAAGCACCGGCUAACUUCGUG
rnacentral:rRNA from 1 species